GAUGAACGCUGGCGGCGUGCCUAAUACAUGCAAGUCGAGCGAACAGACGAGGAGCUUGCUCCUCUGACGUUAUCGGCGGACGGGUGAGUAACACGUGGAUAACCUACCUAUAAGACUGGGAUAACUUCGGGAAACCGGAGCUAAUACCGGAUAAUAUAUUGAACCGCAUGGUUCAAUAGUGAAAGACGGUUUUGCUGUCACUUAUAGAUGGAUCCGCGCCGCAUUAGCUAGUUGGUAAGGUAACGGCUUACCAAGGCAACGAUGCGUAGCCGACCUGAGAGGGUGGUCGGCCACACUGGAACUGAGGCACGGUACAGACUCCGACGGGAGGACGCAGUAGGGAAUCUUACGCGAUGGGGGAAAGCCUGACGGAGCAACGCCGCGUGAGUGAUGAAGGUCUUAGGAUCGUAAAACUCUGUUAUUAGGGAAGAACAAAUGUGUAAGUAACUAUGCACGUCUUGACGGUACCUAAUCAGAAAGCCACGGCUAACUACGUG
rnacentral:rRNA from 1 species